rnacentral:lncRNA from 1 species
GGUGUGCGUCAUUUAGACAAACACUGUUUAGGACGGUAUAGUCCGUGCACAAGCGCUAUUUGUUAUUAGAUUUGCAAACUAAGACUAUGUUCAUUAACCAUGUUGUAUAGCAUGCUUCUUGGAUGAAACCAACUUGUAAGAGUUUAUCUACCUCCACUUUAGCGGUUUUUCUCUUCUCCUCCCCUACUUUUCUCUUCAUUUGAGUCAUAGGUCUGGC